UUUAAGUAGGUAAAAUUCAAGUUUGCUUCCACCUCUCGUGCACAAUGAUCUGUGAUAUUUGGAGGGUACAGGUGCGAUUUUUUAUUUUUUAUUUUUAAACAAGAAGCACAACUACCUUUCAUGCUCCUUGAAAUGGGACCAUGAGAUUAGGCUUUAUGAACCUCACUCACGGAUCGACAGUUUAAAAUAUUAAGGAUUCAGAUAAUUGGCCUCACUCCACUUCACCAUGCACGCAGAGAGACAAGAAAACAAGUCAAUAAUAUUAGAGACAAAGAGAGAUCCACUUGAAAUGACGGCUUUGCUACAGAGCAUUACUCAUUUCAUUAAAUGGGGUUUCUCAAUUGCUCAGAUAUGCAUCUUAACUUCUUUUGCUUGUUUGAAUUUGCAUGUUGUGCAGAAUGAAGAUUUAGGGCAACUAUGCAAUGAUUCAAGAGCAAAGGGCUGCCGCUCUUGCUGAGAUGGAUGCUGUAGGAAAGGAAGCUUAGGUAAUAUCUUCCCUGAGUGAUUUUUACCAAUACUUUGUUAAGGUUUCUACGGGUCUUGUUUGGUCACAUCUUUUAUGCAAUAGAUGGCUCUUCACUUCUCUAAACAGUUGAGAGGUUUCGAAUUUGUGAAAGCUGUCACCUUGGUGGUCGAGUCAUUUACGUUAGAGCUAACUCCAACAUUUAAGGUGAUUUUUUUCUCACCUCUAAGGAUCUGGAAUUUUUACAUAUUCAUAUAAAUCUAGAAAUGAAACAAACAAAUAAACAUGAAGUCGUUAUAACCAAAAUUUACUGAAAAACAGUGAAGCGAAAGUAGAAAAGGUUGUUUCUUGCCGAACUCAGAUUUGUUCAGAAAAAGGCUUACUUUGUUGUUGUUGUUGUUCUUUUCACAACUAAUUUAGCAACUAGAGAACAGUUUGUUGGAUUCAUCGGUUUGUUUUGGAAUCUCAGAUAAAAAGAGGCCCCAAGCAAAGGCUUACUUCGCCAAAGCAGUAUCCGACAUGUAUACCGAGCUUUCAACAUCUGAUCCGACACCACAGUGGAUGUUAAGACUAGAACCUGGAAUGCUCCAAAGUACAUAAGCCUCCACUGCUAGUGGCUUUUCAUUGUCUAGUUUGUAACAGCCUAAUGUGCUAUGACUUCCUCUUAUUGUUGUGCAUUUUCCUUGAAAAUAUUUGAUUCAUUCAUUCAAUUUUCUGCUCCAGAAAUUGAAAUGUCGUGAAAUAAUUUAUCGACGCAACCAAUAUUUCAUGGAGAAGUAUCGUUACCUUAGCACAAUAAAGAACACAGUAAGAUGUAGCAAAUUAUCUGCCAGCAUAGAGAGACAUAACUGUUACUUGCAAGUUGUAGCUGUAAGUGAAGUAAGAGAGUCCUGGCAUGGAAAUGGCUUGCGCAGGCCGACAUGCUUAUCAAGACAAGUUGGUCGUGGCAAGGUUCAUCUUUUAUUUCUAUGCUGUCAUAUACUGAAAAGUUUGUAAGACAAAAAUAAAAAAUUUCACCUAAAAGAGUGGAUUUGAUAUGAGAGGUAAAGGUUCAGGGACAGAAUAUGUUAUCCUAUUUCAGGGAUAUGGUUGUAUAAAAUAAUGAUGAAUUUUUUCUUUUACAAUGGACCGCUGUCCUUGGGGAUAUUGAUUAAUGAUUUGUAACAUUUUCUUGUAGGCU
rnacentral:lncRNA from 1 species